rnacentral:misc_RNA from 1 species
AAAGAAACGUAAUAUGUUACCAAAAAGAAAAGAAACGUAGUAUAACUAUAAGUUAUGCUUUGACUGUUGCGUUGUUAUUUUUUUAUUCCACAAUUUGAGUUAUUCAUAACCCUUCGUUACACCUUUGUUUAAUUUAUUUUUGUGCCGUGUGUAAUAAUGUGCUAAUCAAUCUUGAUAUACUGAUCUAAACUCACUGUUCAUACUGACAACUACAUUUGGUCCUUGUGUUUCAAUAAUUUUUUUCUUUUCAAUAUACAAUAGGCAACCAACUGAUUGGGUGGUCUAUUUUGGGCCCUAUUCUUACGCUCAGCAAACCACCAGGAAGCUAAGACAGUAUCUUGGUCUGUUUACACACUCUUGACUGUGUCCUCGGUUCCCUCAAAAAUUGAUUUUGUAGACAUCAGCAUUAGGAAAACCCAAAAGUCCAAAACAGUAGGUGAAGUAUUUAACCCUAUUGAAAUUUGAAAAUAAUGGCAAUGUCAGUUUCAGGAAGGACAAUUGGAUUUUUUUCUUCCAUUAAACGAAAACUAUAACAGAUAGAAGUGAAGGUACUGUUCCCUCUUUCUUCUUAUCUGCUAGGGUAUAUGCGGUCAUGUU